rnacentral:tRNA from 1 species
GCCUGCUUGGCCCAAUGGUUAAGGCGUCCGCUUCCUAAGCGGGAGAUUCUGGGUUCGAGUCCCAGGGUGGGUU